AGGUUGAAGAUUCUAUUAAAUAGAAAACUUCAGUGGUUAGUGUGUGUUUAUGUGUGUGUGUGUCGACACCCAAGGAGAACAAGGAAGAAGGUUCUCCCAAACACUCUAAAAUCUAGAAAUUUAAGAAGGAUUUGAAGCUAAAUCAAUGCAUGAAUGAAGAAUCCUUACCAUCUCAUGCUAAUGAACAUGUGUAUAGGGAUCAUGUCAAGAUGGAUGGAAGCAUGGAAGGCUAACGGAUCAAAAGGAGGCGAGGAAACAGAUGCGAAUACGGACACUUAAGGUUAGUCUGAUAUUCAUGAUGGACAAGUGAACGAGGGUCGAGUUGAAGAUCAUGGAUUGUGCGGGAAAGCGGUCACGUUGUUUGUAAUGAUUUGUUAACAUAGUUACAUUAAAUAAAUGAUGAAUGAUGUAUUCAUGUUAAAAGGGUUGACCU